UACAGAGGUCCCAAGCGUUGUUCGGAUUCACUGGGCGUAAAGGGUGCGUAGGUGGUUGUGCAAGUCUGAUGUGAAAUCUCCGGGCUUAACCCGGAAAUGGCAUUGGAAACUGCAUGGCUAGAGGGUUGGAGGGGGGACUGGAAUACUUGGUGUAGCAGUGAAAUGCGUAGAUAUCAAGAGGAACACCUGAGGUGAAGACGGGUUGCUGGGCCGACACUGACGCUGAGUGCGCGAAAGCCAGGGGAGCAAACGGG
rnacentral:rRNA from 1 species